AGAGUUUGAUCCUGGCUCAGGAUGAACGCUGACAGAAUGCUUAACACAUGCAAGUCAUUGGCGAAGCUGCGCUUGCGCAGUCUAGCCAAGGCGGACGGGUGAGUAACGCGUAAGGAACUUGCCCUGCAGACAGGGAUAACAGACGGAAACGACUGAUAACACCUGGUAUUGUCAGGCUGGCGCAUGCCGGCCUGAUGAAAGGAGACGCUGCAGGAGAGCCUUGCGUCCUAUUAGCUAGUUGGUGGGGUAACGGCCCACCAAGGCGAUGAUAGGUAGCCGGCCUGAGAGGGUGAACGGCCACAAGGGGACUGAGAUACGGCCCUUACUCCUACGGGAGGCAGCAGUGGGGAAUAUUGGACAAUGGGGGCAACCCUGAUCCAGCAAUUCUGUGUGCACGAAGAAGGUUUUCGGAUUGUAAAGUGCUUUCAGCAGGGAAGAAGAAAGUGACGGUACCUGCAGAAGAAGCGACGGCUAAAUACGUGCCAGCAGCCGCGGU
rnacentral:rRNA from 1 species